rfam:Aedes aegypti strain Liverpool supercont1.702 genomic scaffold, whole genome shotgun sequence.
UGCUCGGUAGCUUAGUUGGUAAAGCGCUCGUCUAGCAUACAAGAGUCCUGGGUUCAAAUCCCAGCCGAGCAC